AAUUUUGACAGGCAUGACCUGUUCUCACCAAGACCUGAAGUAUGAUUAAACCCUUUGGGCUGUAUGAAGGAUGUUUUCUUCUCUUGGUGAGAAGGUACAUCGCGGGGAGCACAGCAAAAUGGGACAGCGACAUGGCAGGAAGCGAGGUUGUGCAGCUGUGAAAGGCAGAGACAACAAGGUUGGAGCCUUAGGAGAAGAGACUGAAGAGGCUGUGACUCUCCACCUGGGAGAGGAGGCUGAAAGGGGUGUGUUCAGCAAUCAUGGAUCUCAAGGGAAGGGAUAAGAUGUGACCAGCUCUGACAGCAUUACUCCUGGAAGAGUAGGUACAGGAAAAAUCUUCGGUAAGGCUUUGAAGAAAGCCUGAAGGUCUUUUAUAACUAACUUGGCUGUGCUAAUUUAACAUACUUUACUGUUGACUUCAAAAUGCAAGACACUUAGAUAUCUUACCACUUCCUUUUAUUCUGAAAAUAUUAGUUGCUUUUUUCUCCUUUGCUGUGUAGUGACCUUUGCAGAAAUAUUCCAUGAAUGCUGGCUGUAUAGGUGUGUGGAAAAACUGUGUUGGUCUGAAGGACUAAUGAAAGAGGCUUAAUCACAAGCUGGAACUCAUGUAUCGUGUGAUAAGCUAUUAUAAAAAUCCCAUGCUGAGCUCACAAGCCCUGUGUGAGUGCACCUCCAGGAAGGAGGCUAAUUCUACAUGAUAGGAGCAGCAGAAAGGUAUGACAUCCUAAAGUUUGGCCUGGAGUCUGGCCUUUUGGUCUUCUGAAAAAGCCAAUGAGAGACUGAUUCAGCCUAAUGCUAUUUAGGCUGUUUCUUGUCCAAAUGACCCAAAAU
rnacentral:lncRNA from 1 species